rnacentral:rRNA from 1 species
CGCGCAGGCGGCGUCGUAAGUCGGUCUUAAAAGUGCGGGGCUUAACCCCGUGAGGGGACCGAAACUGCGAUGCUAGAGUAUCGGAGAGGAAAGCGGAAUUCCUAGUGUAGCGGUGAAAUGCGUAGAUAUUAGGAGGAACACCAGUGGCGAAAGCGGCUUUCUGGACGACAACUGACGCCGAGGCGCGAAAGCCAGGGGAGCAAACG